UGUAACACCCUGGCCUAACCAAAAUAAAGACCAAAAACCCCUCUCUAUGGCCAGGGUGUUACAUACAUAGGGAUUUUAAUCUACAAUUUACUUUGCAGUCUGGUCCAUAGACCUCUCAGAGAGAAAGGCCUCCCUCCUCCUAGAAGUGCUGAAACUCCAACCAGAGAAGAAACCAGUAGAGCUGAAGGGCUGGUCAGAUGAAGAGAGUGAAGUGAGGAGUUUCCUUCAGUGUCUGUCCUUCAUCUCACAGCUGAGUUUCUGUCUAUGGUGGCCUGAUCCCUCAAAGCAGAUCACGUUCCUGGUGAAUCUCCUGUCUCAAGCAGCAGAGUGGGAGGAGCAGACAGGAGAGAAGACACUGAAGCUGGUAUCAUCAGUGUGUACUUACAGCGCUUUCCCCUUCUGUGACUGGGUUUAUGAUGAUGAUGGUGAUGUGAUUAAGGAAAAUCAGUGUCAUUUCCUGUUGGAUCUUUACUCACAUGUGAAGGACUAUGAGACUCAAACAGGCAGGAGUGUCCUUCCAGCAUUACAGCCAGUUUACCAGUCAGUUCCUGCAGUCUGGUCCAUAGACCUCUCAGAGAGAAAGGCCUCCCUCCUCCUAGACGUGCUGAAACUCCAACCAGAGAAGAAACCAGUAGAGCUGAAGGGCUGGUCAGAUGAAGAGAGUGAAGUGAGGGGUUUCCUUCAGUGUCUGCCCUACAUCUCACAGCUGAGUUUCUAUCCAUGGAGGUCUGAUCCCUCAAAGCAGAUCAAGUUCCUGGUGGAUCUCCUGUCUCAAGCAGCAGAGUGGGAGGGGCAGACAGGAGAGAAGACACUGAAGCUGGUAUCAUCAGUGUGGACUUACAGCACCUUUCCUUAUCGCUAUGGAAACAAUUCUAAACAGAGUGAUUUCCUACUGGAUCUGUACUCACAUGUGAAGGACUAUGAGACUCAAACAGGCAGGAGUGUCCUUCCAGCGUUACAGCCAGUUUACCAGUCAGCUCAUACAGUCUGGUCCAUAGACCUGUCAGAGAGAAAGGCCUCCCUCCUCCUAGAAGUGCUGAAACUCCAACCAGAGAAGAAACCAGUAGAGCUGAGGGGCUGGUCAGAUGAAGAGAGUGACGUGAGGAGUUUCCUUCAGUGUCUGCCCUACAUCUCACAGCUGAGUUUCCCUCCAUGGUGGUCUGAUCCCUCAAAGCAGAUCAAGUUCCUGGUGGAUCUCCUGUCUCAAGCAGCAGAGUGGGAGGAGCAGACAGGAGAGAAGACACUGAAGCUGGUAUCAUCAGUGUGUACUUACAGCACCUUUCCUUUUCCCAAUGGAUACAUUUCUAAACAGAGUGAUUUCCUGCUAGAUCUGUACUCACAUGUGAAGGACUAUGAGACUCAAACAGGCAGGAGUUUCCUUCCAGCAUUACAGCCAGUUUAUCAGUCAGCUCCUGCAGUCUGGUCCAUAGGGCUCUCAGAGAGAAAGACCUCCCACCUCCUAGAAGUGCUGAAGCUCCAACCAGAGAAGAAACCAGUAGAGCUGAAGGGCUGGUCAGAUGAAGAGCGUGAAGUGAGGAGUUUCCUUCAGUGUCUGUCCUACAUCUCACAGCUGAGAUUUCCUCCACUGAAGGAUAAUGUAGAGAGGAUAAAGAGAGAGAAGACAUUCCUACUGAAUCUGUGUCUUCAAGCAGCUCUUCAUGAGAGAGGAACCAUACAAACAACUGUAGAGAAAGUGUUGUCACUGUCUGAAGUAUAUCACAAUCAGAAAUGGGAUUUCCUGCUGUAUCUGUACUCACAUGUGAAGGACUAUGAGACUCAAACAGGCAGGAGUGUCCUUCCAGCAUUACAGCCAGUUUACCAGUCAGCCAGUCCUGCAGUCUGGUCCAUAGACCUCUCAAAGAGAAAGGCCUCCCUCGUCCUAGAAGUGCUGAAACUCCAACCAGAGAAGAAACCAGUACAGCUGAUGGGCUGGUCAGAUGAAGAGAGUGAAGUGAGGAGUUUCCUUCAGUGUCUGCCCUAUAUCUCACAGCUGAGUGUUACUCCACCACAGGAACAGAGAAGAUCCCCUGAAGAGAGGAGAAAGAGAGAGAAGACAUUCCUACUGAAUCUGUGUCUUCAAGCAGCUCUCCAUGAGAGAGGAACCAUACAAACAACUGUAGAGAAGGUGUUGUCAUUGUCUGAAGUAUAUCACUAUCAGAAAUGUGAUUUCCUGCUGGAUCUGUACUCAUUUGUGAAGGACUAUGAGAUUCAAACAGGCAGGAGUGUCCUUCCAGCAUUACAGCCAGUUUACCAGUCAGCUCCUGCAGUCUGGUCCAUAGACCUCUCAGAGAGAAAGGCCUCCCUCCUCCUAGAAGUGCUGAAACUCCAACCAGAGAAGAAACCAGUAGAGCUGAAGGGCUGGUCAGAUGAAGAGAGUGAAGUGAGGAGUUUCCUUCAGUGUCUGUCCUACAUCUCACAGCUGAGUUUUACUCCUCCAUGGGAUCAGAGAAGAUGCCCUGAAGAGAGGACACAGAGAGAGAAGACAUUCCUACUGAAUCUGUGUCUUCAAGCAGCUCUCCAUGAGAGAGGAACCAUACAAACAACUGUAGAGAAAGUGUUGUCACUGUCUGAAGUAUAUCACAAUCAGAAAUGUGAUUUCCUGCUGGAUCUGUGCUCACAUGUGAAUGACUACGAGACUCAAACAGGCAGGAGUGUUCUUCCAGCAUUACAGCCAGUUUACCAGUCAGCCAGUCCUGCAGUCUGGUCCAUAGACCUCUCAGAGAGAAAGGCCUCCCUCUUCCGAGAAGUGCUGAAACUCCAACCAGAGAAGAAACCAGUAGAGCUGAAGGGCUGGUCAGAUGAAGAGAGUGAAGUGAGGAGUUUCCUUCAGUGUCUGCCCUACAUCUCACAGCUGAGUUUCUAUCCAGAUUGGUAUGAUCCCUCAAAGCAGAUCAAGUUCCUGGUGGAUCUCCUAUCUCAAGCAGCAGAGUGGGAGGAGCAGACAGGAGAUAAGACACUGAAGCUGGUAUCAUCAGUGUGUACUUACAGCACUUUCCCCUUCUGUGAUGAUGACGAUGAUGAUGAUGAUGAUGAUGAUGAGGAAUAUCAAAGUGAUUUCCUGCUGGAUCUCUACCCACAUGUGAAGGACUAUGAGUGUCAAACAGGCAGGAGUGUCCUUCCAGCAUUGCAGCCAGUUUACCAGUCAGCCAGUCCUGCCGUCUGGUCCAUAGACCUGUCAGAGAGAAAGGCCUCCCUCCUCCUAGAAGUGCUAAAACUCCAACCAGAGAAGAAACCAGUAAAGCUGAAGGGCUGGUAUGAUGAAGAGAGUGAAGUGAGGAGUUUCCUUCAGUGUCUGCCCUACAUCUCACAGCUGAGUUUUACUCCACCACGGGAUCAGAGAAGAUCCCCUGAAGAGAGGAGAAAGAGAGAGAAGACAUUCCUACUGAAUCUGUGUCUUCAAGCAGCUCUCCAUGAGAGAGGAACCAUACAAACAAUUGUAGAGAAAGUGUUGUCACUGUCUAAAGUAUAUCACGAUCAGAAAUUUGAUUUCCUGCUGGAUCUGUACUCACAUGUGAAGGACUAUGAGACUCAAACAGGCAGGAGUGUCCUUCCAGCAUUACAGCCAGUUUACCAGUCAGCCAGUCCUGCAGUCUGGUCCAUAGACCUCUCAGAGAGAAAGGCCUCCCUCCUCCUAGAAGUGCUGAAACUCCAACCAGAGAAGAAACCAGUAGAGCUGGAGGGCUGGUCAGAUGAAGAGAGUGAAGUGAGGAGUUUCCUUCAGUGUCUGUCCUACAUCUCACAGCUGAGGUGAGUCUGAACAUGUGUGAUGGUUAGUGAUUAUGUGAUGCUACUGAUUAUUGUCUUUUAGAAACAUUGUAAUAUGAAA
ensembl:lncRNA